GUGGGACCCAACGCUUUACAUAAGAUCCGACAAGAUGUCGGAGUUGUGUUUCAGUGUGAUCUGGCUGUCCCACGUGUUCACUCUGACUUGUGCCACACGCACUGACCAAGUGCGUUAUAUCCACGCGCGCAUGUUUAUUUGUAAUCAUUUACCCCUCAACGAAAAAGAGAGUCCGCAAAGCAUGAUGAUUGAUGAUCAAUCAUUUAUUAGUGAUCCUCCAAUAGCUUUUAUGUAAGUAUUGGCAAAAACAUCGAGUG